ncrna:Thermosynechococcus elongatus BP-1 Glutamine riboswitch
AUCGUUCAUCUUCGCUAGAGCGCACCUGAAAACUUGGGUGAGCAGCGAAGACGGAAGUAGGGCAGUUGUCCCGAAGGAACGCGCC